rnacentral:pre_miRNA from 1 species
ACCUGGAGAUUGUGCUAAAAUGCAGAUGUCUGGAAUGGGGACUAGGAUUCUGCAUUUCUAACAAGUUCUCAGGUAAUG